CAGUGAUCCCUGCAUCUUGCCAGCUUCCAUCUCAGGAGGCAGCUCUGUGUAAAGACCCACAAGGCGAGGACUAUGGGCUGUGACCUGCAAAUCCAUCUGAGUGACCUUGGACAUGGAGUCCCCAUCUUGAGUCUUCAAGCGAUAUUGCAGCCCUGACCGACAGUUCGAGCCAGAGGCCCUUGGCCAAGCUGCACUCAGGUUUCUGAGCAACAGAAACUGUGAGAUGUACCUUGUUAUCAUCAUCAACAUGCUGAGAACUGAGAAGGCUGUACACCCAGUAACUCCCUUUACCUUUGUAACAACCUAUGAGAAAAAGUAUUAUUAGAGCAUCAUUCUGCAGAUGCGAAGCCAAGACAGGAAAGAGCUCAGUUGCCUAAAGUG